AGCCUUCUGGAUCCAUACCCAGAUUUCGUCAGACACCAUACCACUAGCACUGAAACUCCCAAGAUUAGUGAAGCA
rfam:Schistosoma haematobium scaffold242_59, whole genome shotgun sequence.